UACGAACCGUCCAAACGUUAUUCGGAUUCAUUGGGCUUAAAGGGUACGUAGGCGGCGCUAUCAGUCGGGUGUGAAAGCCCUCGGCUCAACCGGAGGAACUGCGCCCGAUACUGUAGUGCUUGAGGGAGACAGAGGUAAGCGGAACUGAUGGUGGAGCGGUGAAAUGCGUUGAUAUCAUCAGGAACACCGGUGGCGAAAGCGGCUUACUGGGUCUCUUCUGACGCUGAGGUACGAAAGCUAGGGGAGCGAACGGG
rnacentral:rRNA from 1 species